rnacentral:rRNA from 1 species
GAUGAACGCUGGCGGCGUGCCUAAUACAUGCAAGUCGAGCGAACGGACGAGAAUCUUGCUUCUCGGAUGUUAGCGGCGGACGGGUGAGUAACACGUGUAUAACCUACCUAUAAGACGGGUAUAACUUCGGGAAACCGGAGCUAAUACCGUAUAAUAUUUUGAACCGCAUGGGUCAAAAGUGAAAGACGGUCGUGCGGUCACGUAUAGAUGGAUCCGCGCUGCAUUAGCUAGUUGUUAAGUUAACGGCUUACCAAGGCAACGAUGCAUAGCCGACGUGAGAGGGUGAUAGGCCACCCUGGAACUGAGCCACGGUCAAGAGUACUACGGGAGGGAGCAGUAGGGAAUCUUAGGCAAUAGUCGGAAGCAUGGCGGAGCGAGGGGGAGUCAGUGAUGACGGCCUUCGGAUCGUAAAAAUCUGUUAUUAGGGAAGAACAUAUGUGUCAGUAAAUGUGGCCAUAUUGACGGUAACUAAUAAGAAAGCAACGGCUAACUACGUG